GCGCGGUUAGCUCAGUGGUAGAGCACGUCCUUGACACGGACGGGGUCAGAGGUUCGAAACCUCUACCGCGCACCA
rnacentral:tRNA from 1 species